GUUUGCACUUGUCGGGGAAGGGUGAGAACCUUCGAUUAAGGUUCGACUCGAGCGAAAGCGAGAGAAUGUUGCCAACGGCAACGGCCCGUAGGGUGAGGAGCGAAGCGACGAAUAAUCCUUCCCCCAC
rnacentral:sRNA from 1 species